UACGUAGGGUCCGAGCGUUGUCCGGAAUUAUUGGGCGUAAAGGGCUCGUAGGCGGUUUGUCGCGUCGGGAGUGAAAACGCCGGGCUUAACCCGGUGCUUGCUUUCGAUACGGGCAGACUGGAGGUAUGCAGGGGAGAACGGAAUUCCUGGUGUAGCGGUGAAAUGCGCAGAUAUCAGGAGGAACACCGGUGCGAAGGCGGUUCUCUGGGCAUGACCUGACGCUGAGGAGCGAAAGUGUGGGGAGCGAACAGG
rnacentral:rRNA from 1 species